GUUGCGGUGGCCGAGUGGUUAAGGCGAUGGACUUGAAAUCCAAUGGGAUCUUACCGCGCAGGUUCGAACCCUGCACGCAACG
rfam:Nematostella vectensis strain CH2 x CH6 NEMVEscaffold_504_Cont28946, whole genome shotgun sequence.